GCAGGAAACUGUUCCAGAAAAAGUCAGGGUAAAUUUUUGAAGUAAGCGUGUGUAAUAUUCUUUCUACAGCGUUGCCCCAGCUACUGGCAAAUAUAAAUACCAGCUAUGUACCUGGACACAAGUGACUGUGUCUUUGGUUCACAGAACACAGAUCUGCAGCUUCGGUGAAUUACCACCAUUCACUUUGUUAAGUCCCCUGGGCUUGGUUGUUAAGAAUCCGAGGAUAUCUAUCUGUUCAUUCUGUCUCCAAGCUUUAAUGAACUUAUGAAAAUGAACUUGUUAAAAUGUGACUAUAAAUAUUCAUGAUUAACAUUUGAGAUAACAAGAACUCCCGUUUAAGAAGGCAAGGCACUGUAAAAAGCAUUUCCCAUAAAACGACCCAAUAAAAACCCUAUGGCUCCCAUUUUUACAGGUGAGGAAACUGGGAAGAUUAAGAAAUGCACCUAGUGUCACACAAAUUCAAGAUAAUCUGACCAAAAAAUCUAAGCCCUUAACACGUGUUGAAUAAACAAGCAAUUGCAAAAACAUUGCUAUUAUCCUCCCAAUUUCGUUUUCACUUCUAUGUUGGUGCUACUGUUUUCUGAGAUUAAAAUUUAAAAUUCAGACAGAGCCUGCAGCUAGCUUGCUGGGGCCACUUUGGUUUGCUGUUGCAAGAGGAAAUUUUCUUUUUCUUUUUUUGGCAGGGGAAAGACGGGUCAAAUUUUUUCCCAUCUUAAUCAGUAUCUUAGUACAGAUUUUUCAUUUUAAAAAACAUUUUCUUUUUUUUUUCAUUAUUUAUUGGGACCUAUUUGACAUACAACAUUAUGUUAAGUUUCAGGUAUACAAUAUAAUGAUCCAGUGUUUGUGUGUAUUGCAAAAUGGCCACUAUAAUAAGUCUAGUUAACAUCCACCACAAGCAUAGUUACAGAAAUUUUUACUUGUGAUGAGAGCAAAUGGAAAGAGUAAUAAUAACAGGAGUCCUAGAAUCCUGGGUCCUGGGGUUGGAGGGGACACAUGUUUUAGUUUCCUGUGAUCAACUUCCCCCUUCUUCUGCUACCUCAAGAUGUCCCCACCCCUCUAGAUCAAGGGAUGGACAUGUGAGCCAAGCAAGGCGACCAGAGCUGAGGAGCACAAGUCUGGUUCCGGUGACAAUCCCUGAAGAGACUGCCCUUGCGUUCUGGCUACCCACAGCUCCGGAGCUUCCCAGGUUCCAGGCUUUUCUGAAGCAUAGUUCAUUAGCUUUCCCAGCAAUCGGAAAACUGGCCCAAUUUGUUGCUUGGAACUGAAGACUCCUGACUGAUAGAGACAGAGAGAGAAAGAAUCUCAAUAAGACUCCCGCUGAGCAUGGAGCCUGACAUGGGGCUCAAUCUCACAACCCUGAGAUCAUGAUCUGAACCAAAAUCAAGCAUCGGACGCUUAACUGACUGAGCCACCCAAGCACCACUAUUUUUUUUUUUUUUAAGUAGGCCCUAUGCCCAGUGUGGAGCUUGAACUCAUGACCCUGAGAUCAAGACCUGAGCUGAGAUCAAGAGUCAGAUGCUUAACAGACUGAGCCACCCAGGCAUUCCUACCAUUAUAUGUUUUAAGGAUUAAACAACAUAAUAUAUUUUAAAUGUUCAUCACAAUGUCUAAAACAGGAGCGUUCAAUAAAAUGUUGGUUUCAAGUGCUUUGGUUGGAAUAUAGGUAGGUACAGAGGAGCAGAAAGUAGGUUGGAUCCAUAAGGCAGUGAGCUUUGAUGGGGGAUGAAUGUAGAACUUAAAUCCCUAAGCAAAAAGAAAUUGCAAAGAUUUUGGAGUAGGGAAGCACCAUCAUUGGACCUGGGCUUGGGCAGAGCAUGUAGAAUGGGAUAAAAUCUACUCUUUAGAUCGCUGUUGCCAUAGUCCUAGGGAAAGGUAAUGAGGACCUGAGAUAAGGCAGGAGGUAUAGAAAUUUAAAUGCAUUAAUUAGAAAGGCUGGUUAUAUGGAAUAUAGCAACUGCCUACAUUUUGGAGGCAAAAGAGAAGCCAGUAUUUUUGAGCCUGUGUCCCUGAGUCAAUAGUAAUGCUGUUAACCAGGAAGAAUACAUUCAGAGGAGAGCUCUGAGGAGUUCAAGGUACACAUGAGACACUAGGGCAAAGGUGACAGGCAGACAAGUAGAACAGGGACUGGGGCACGGAAGAGAAGGGCAAGCGAGAGUUCCUGGAGCUCCCUGCCAGGGACGAUUGAUGGAAGUGAGGGUGUGGGUGACAGAUCUUCACAGAAGAGUUAAGAUUGCCAUAGAGAAGAAGAGAAAGCAACGAGAGAGAUGAAACCAGUCCUGUGUGUCUGGAGAGGUUACCAACGGGAAAACCCUUCACAAGCUGUCGAGUACUGCAAAGACUCAAGCUGAUGAGAAGCAGAGGAACGAACAGCUGCUGUGGAGAAGGUCACGGGAGUCCUUUCCUGAACCAAGAUGUUCAUUUGGGAGGUCAGACCCUGAGGCUGGAGGAAGUCAGGGACCAUAAUGACAGGAGGUCAAGCACUCAACACCUGUAAUCACAAUGGUUUCUCCCAAGGAUCUUGAGAGAUUUCCCAGCAGAAGAAUUGAGAUGGAUGAUAAUACGGGAGAAAAAUGUUCCACUGUGGCCAGCUCGUGUUCUUUUGGAGAGCUGUUUGCACACAUGUCGAGAGGCCGCCAAGAGCCCCAGUUGGCUCACAUAGUGGGUGGGGAGGUCACGCCGCUCCCUGGGACCUGGGAUGGAGUGACCUCUGUCUUUCGAUCCCCCCCGGGGAGGAUGCAGCUUACGCUGGCUCAUGUCCUGCCACAGGCUGUCACCUCAGAUGGCCUCACUGAGGCCAGCUGGAGUUACCAGCAAGUUCGCGUCAGCCUGGUUCCAUAAUGCCCUCGCGUGUCUCCCCUCGGGGGGUGCAGACUGACACUGCCACCACGGGGCUGUGGAAACUACUAGGAAAAGUGAAGUAGAGAUACCUUUUUUUUUUUUUUUAGAUAACACUUUUUUGACCUCGCUCACAAAGUCUCUCCUUAAUGAAAAAGCAAGAGGGUCUGAGUAUGGGAAGAAAAGGCUAAAAUACUAGUGUCUCCAGGGGAAUUUUCCUCCAGAAGAAUUCAAGAUCACAGUGGGACUCAUGCUCCCUGGGAACAGUUUAUUUUCUAAUAAUGAACCUAUAGAAUCACAAAAUCGGACCGUAUAGUCCCUCCUGACUGACGUGUGGAAGGAUAAUGGACAUGCUGGUCCUACGUGAAAGGAAACUGUGGUCCAGACUUCAGGAAAAAGAUAUAGUGACAGAAAUUUGCAUACAGGAAGUUUAUUGUAAAGUGGUCUCAGGAAUAAAAAUUGUGAGGAGUUAAAGAAGCAGGAUUGGGCAAGAGAAGUUGAACUAUGGGGAAAUUGCAAGGAAGUCUUCAGCAGAUCCCACAGAAGCUCGGGAGCUUGGAUAGUCCUUCAGCAUUGUCCCAAAUUCAGGGUAGCUGACGAAGACUUCACACAAGUGGUGACAUUGGACUCUCCAAAAAGAGAAGACAGGGAAGGACAUCUGUGCAAGUCUGAAGGUCAGUGCCUAAGUCCUUGACUCUUGAGUACUGGUGAGUGAGGUUAGGGAGUGAAGAGAGAAAUAAAUGAUAAAAUGAUAAAUGAUAAAAGUUGACUGGGGCGCUCUUAUGAAGGCCUCACAUGCCAUGUUACAGAGAUUGAACUGCAUCAGGGGCAGAUGGGGUAAUGGCACUGGUCAUUGAAGGAGUUGAAGCAUGGGAAGGCGGUGAUCAGGUAUGGCUCAGGAAGAUGAGAGGGACCUCACACUCUCCUGGUUUUCUGCCUGCCUUGUUUGCCUCAGUGUCCCCUGCAUGUUCACCCCCAUCAUCUGCCUCUAAAUGCUAGAGUCCAUGGAGGCCUAGUCCUCAGCAGCUCUGAACUUCCUCCCUCAUCUCACUCACACCCAGAGCUUUGAAAACUAUAUAUUCAUAGCUCCAUAUUAUAUCACCAGCCUCAAGCCCUAUUGCUUGUUUCUUGGCAUCUCCCCUGAAUGUGCAAAAGCAGCUCAAACUCAACAUGACCAAAAUGGAAUUCAUGAUCCACUAUUCCUAAAAACCCUUGGUCCUCAACCUCUUGUAUCUCAGAAAAUGGCACUAUCUUCCAUCUAGCUUAUAAGGCGAAAACUUAGGCUUCUUUCUUUCUUUUUGUUUUUAAAGAUUUUAUUUAUUUGACAGAGAGACACAGCGAGAGAAGGAACACAAGCAGGGGGAGUGGGAGAGGGAGAAGCAGGCUUCCCGCCAAGCAGAGAGCCCGAUGCGGGGCCCGAUCCCAGGACCCCGGGAUCACGACCUGAGCCAAAGGCAGACGCCCAACGACUGAGCCACCCAGGCGCCCCCUUAGGCUUCUUUCUAGAUUAAUUCCUCUUCCUCACCACCAGCCCAUGUCCAAUUUUUCACCAAGACUUAGGGAUUUUACUUGUUAAGUAUCUUUCUACCCAUUCACUUCCUCCAUCCCUUCAUCUUCCACCUGAAUCUUAGCUCUCACCCUCUCUUCUUUAAACUACUGCUGCCACUCUGAACUGGUCUCCCCACAUCCAGCCCCUACUCUACACGGUAGGCAGAAUGCCUUUCAACAAAAUAAAUUUGGUCAUGCCAGUCACUUACUUAAACCCCCCUAAUGACUUUCUCCUUUUAAUUUAGGAUAAGGACCCCAAUCCUUAAUAUUUCCUACAAGGCACUGCGUGAGCCGACAUCUGCUUCCUUUCUGGUCUCAUUUGGGGCCCUGUUCCUUCUUUUUGCCCCAGUCUAGUCACACUGGCCUUUUGUGAGUUUUUUAAACCACCCCUCAUAGGGCAUUUGCACAUGCUGUCCCCUCUGCCUAGAGAGCUCCAUUUCCUCUCUUUCCCUGCAUUCCCUUGCAUCCCUGUCUCCACAUGAAUGUUAGUCUCUCAGAGGAAGCCUUCCUCGGCUUAUAGCACAUCAGCACUGUCUAUAAUUACGUUUUUGUGAUGAAUCAUUACCUGCCUCCCACUGUAGACUGUAGGCUUUGUGAAGACUAGAACUUUGUCUGGUUGGCAUGUUAUUAGAUCCUUAAGACUUAGCAGUUUUCGAUACACAAAACCUAUUUUUGAGUGACCAUGGGAGGAGAAUCUGGCAACCAGGAGACCAGUUAAGAAAAGGCAUUGUAAUAGCCCAGAGGAGAAAUGAAAAGAGUCUGAAUUAAGGCUUAGUGAAGAAGAAGAGAUUUUAAGGAGGUAAUAUAUGGAUUAGGGUCUUUGGAUAUAAACAAUAUCCUGUCUCACUUAAGCAAAAAAGGGAUUUAUUGGAGGGAUAGGGGGAGUUCACAUUACAAAAGGAUAAUCUAACAGCUAGCCCCAAGAACAAGAGGAGUCAGGGCAGAGAUAGCAGGUCGAGAAGCAGAAACAAAUGGAGGGUGAUCUCUUUAAAGCACUAUUGGAGUAAGUCCACUUCAGCCAUUUUUCAGACCUUAUGUCAUUUCUCUCAAGAUCCCAGGUCCAGGGAGAGAGAGUCUGGCAGUCCCAGCAAAGCUGCGUGCAGGGGAUGGAUAGUUUUCCACAGGAAAAGGUGAGUGUUGUUGACAAAGGGAGGAGAAAGGAAUGAUGCCAGCCGAAUCCACAGACAUCCACCUCAGGAGCAUCAACAGACAAGAUGAAAGGGCAUGAACAAGAAGCCAAGGAUAAAUCGCAGGUUCCCAGCUUGCAGGAUGGUGGUACCAUUCAUCAGGUUAGAGAAUACAGGAGGAGUAUUCUAGGGGGCGGAUGAGUCUGACUUGCCCACCAAGUAGUUGACCUGCAGUAUGGCUCUGAACCUUAGGACUUAGGGAUUUGGAAGUUUUCAGCCUCUCUCUACAAGAGAGAAAAGCAUGAGCAUGGAUGUGAUGACUAGGGACAGGGUAUUGAGUGAAGAGAGAGAAGAACCAUGGGUGGAAUGCUAGGGAGUAGAAAAAAUUAAGAAGCAGGUAAAGGGAAAAAAGCCAGGCAGGUUAGAGUGACAUAUUUAAUGAGGCACACUGGCCAAUUGAGAAGUCAGAGGUCUUGUGUUUUUGAUUUUCAUUUUGUUUUGUUUUUCAAAGUAAGGUAAUUUCCUCAGCCUCUUCUGAAGAAGGAAAGUUGCUGUGACCAUGAGGUCACCUCGUGGCCAAGAGCUCAUAGGCUCCUUAUGUAUUUUAGAGCAAAAAGGAGAAGGCUCACCUGUAAAGCCUGGACCCAAAUGGGUAACUAAAAUAGAUUGUUUAGGAAGUUUUGCUACUCAAAUGCAGUCCUACUAGUCGCAUCAGCAUCACCUGGGAGCUUGCUAGAACUGCACCACCCCAUACCUAAUGAAUGAGAAUCUGCAGCUUAAGAUCCCCAGGUAUUGAUACACACACGUAUGAGAAACAUUGUCCUAAAGAGGGAUGGUAUGGAAUUUGUGGGUUUUAGGAGUUGAAGAGAAGGGUGCCCCAACUCUUAUGGAGUCUAGAGGACUUGGAGCCAAACUCAUUGCAACUUCAUGGUGAAGAGGAGAUGGCCCUGGGCCCACACAAUUGCAGCACUGGUGGUUACUAAUGGGGACUGAGUACUAAGCUCAUGACCUUGAGAGCUUCCCUGAGUGUCUCUAUGGCUGACCCAGCACCAAGGGCAUGUAGAUACUUGCUCUAACAUGAACCACACUUGGCUGCCAGGAGUCCGCAGCAGCAUCCACCGUGGAUUGCAUAAACCCUCAGGGGGCUGUUAGAUCUGGCAGUUAGAUCAAGCAUAAUUUCCAACAAAUAAUGACGUAGAAACCAAAUGACAAUAGUCAAAUAACAAAUGGGAAGACGAGAAAAUGUACCCAAUGAACAGAGAGUCAGGAAUAUAGAAAUUUGACUACAAAGAGAAGGAAACAGGGGUGACAGCAAGCUAGAGAAGGAAGGCAGACAAAGGAUGUUUUGCAUCAUUUUGUUUAUGAUGAGCACAUUUAAGUAUCUAGAGCUAAGAGAUCAGUGAGGGAAAGGAGGUUGGCUUGAAAGAAGUUAGUUAAGGAGGCAAAACACUUACCAAGGAUAGUAAGGGAUAGUUGUGAGCAAUAUUUAGAAGGUAGCCUCAGCGGGGCUUUGUGACUGGUUAGACACAAGGGGGGGGGGGUAGUUAAUUUCCCUAGUGUUGACGCCAGGAGAGGCGGUGAAGUACAGAAGG